rnacentral:rRNA from 1 species
CCUACGGGGGGCAGCAGUGGGGAAUAUUGGACAAUGGGGGCAACCCUGAUCCAGCCAUGCCGCGUGUGUGAAGAAGGCCCUCGGGUUGUAAAGCACUUUCAGUGAGGAAGAACGCCUGGUGGUUAAUACCCAUCAGGAAAGACAUCACUCACAGAAGAAGCACCGGCAUAACUCCGUGCCAGCAGCCGCGGUAAUACGGAGGGUGCGAGCGUUAAUCGGAAUUACUGGGCGUAAAGCGCGCGUAGGUGGCUUGAUAAGCCGGUUGUGAAAGCCCCGGGCUCAACCUGGGAACGGCAUCCGGAACUGUCAAGCUAGAGUGCAGGAGAGGAAGGUAGAAUUCCCGGUGUAGCGGUGAAAUGCGUAGAGAUCGGGAGGAAUACCAGUGGCGAAGGCGGCCUUCUGGACUGACACUGACACUGAGGUGCGAAAGCGUGGGUAGCAAACAGGAUUAGAUACCCGUGUAGUC